rnacentral:sRNA from 1 species
GAUGAGUCUCAAGAUGGACAACCGGGAUGUUGCAGGAAAGGCUAACCGGUGGUUUGGGGUUGCUCCCCCUAAAUCUGGAAAAAUGAACAUGAACAUCCUUCACCAGGAAGAGCUCAUCGCUCAGAAGAAACGGGAAAUUGAAGCCAAAAUGGAACAGAAAGCCAAGCAGAAUCAGGUGGCCAGCCCUCAGCCACCACAUCCUGGCGAAAUCACAAACGCACACAACUCUUCCUGCGUUUCCAACAAGUUUGCCAACGAUGGUAGCUUCUUGCAGCAGUUUCUGAAGUUGCAGAAGGCACAGACCAGCACAGACGCCCCAACCAGUGCGCCCAGCGCCCCUCCCAGCACACCCACCCCCAGCACUGGGAAGAGGUCCCUGCUCAUCAGCAGGCGGACAGGCCUGGGGCUGGCCAGCCUGCCGGGCCCUGUGAAGAGCUACUCCCACGCCAAGCAGCUGCCCGUGGCGCACCGCCCGAGUGUCUUCCAGUCCCCUGACGAGGACGAGGAGGAGGACUAUGAGCAGUGGCUGGAGAUCAAAGAGAGAGUGUGCCUAUUGACUGUGGGGUGUGUGAGUUGAACCCCAGUACUGACAGCCUCCUUAAAGUUUCACCCCCAGAGGGAGCCGAGACUCGGAAAGUGAUAGAGAAAUUGGCCCGCUUUGUGGCAGAAGGAGGCCCCGAGUUAGAAAAAGUAGCUAUGGAGGACUACAAGGAUAACCCAGCAUUUGC